rnacentral:rRNA from 1 species
UACGUAGGGGGCAAGCGUUAUCCGGAUUUACUGGGUGUAAAGGGAGCGUAGACGGUGAUGCAAGUCAGAAGUGAAAGCCCGGGGCUCAACCCCGGCCCGCCGUUGAAACUGGCAGUCUCGAGUUGGAGAGAAGUAUGCGGAAUGCGCGGUGUAGCGGUGAAAUGCAUAGAUAUCGCGCAGAACUCCGAUUGCGAAGGCAGCAUGCCGGCUCCACACUGACGCUGAGGCACGAAAGCGUGGGUAUCGAACAGG